CUAUGAUCAAACAUCGAACCCAAUAGCUAUUCAUGUCCACAACAAGUCACUUAUUCAGAAUAAGACUCGAAAGGGAAAAUUAAGCCCUCUAUAUGGUUAGGACCAGAACGUGGUAUUGGAAGUCAAAGAAAACGAAAACAUGUCAAUACAAUAGGGAAGACGGUAAACCAAAAUUCAUAAAAAUCUAUUGAGACUAUUCAGGGAAUAGUCCUCAGGAAAAAACUCGGAUAAAAAAAAACACAUGUAUACAUAUAAGUAAAUAUAACAUUAUUAACACUAACAUUGGUUGUCUCGAUUCUAUUAAUAUGAUCCUCCAUUUCCGCUUUGAUAGACUACGUAAGUCAUCAACACUGUAAAUAAUAUUUCACCUCUUUCUAAUAUACUUACAAAACGUGUGCACCUAUACCUUGGUGACACUACUUAACUACUGAUAUCGUUCGUCAACAACUAUCUUAUGAUACUAAC